CCUACGGGAGGCAGCAGUGGGGAAUAUUGCACAAUGGGCGAAACCCUGAUGCAGCGACGCCGCGUGGGCGAAGAAGUAUUUCGGUAUGUAAAGCCCUAUCAGCAGGGAAGAAGAAAUGACGGUACCUGAGUAAGAAGCACCGGCGGAAUCAGUGCCAGCAGCCGCGGUAACACGGAUGGUGCAAGCGGUAUCCGGAUUUACUGGGUGUAAAGGGAGCGCAGGCGGCACGGCAAGCCUGAUGUGAAAGCCCGCGGCCCAACCGGGGGACUGCAUUGGGAACUACCGGGCUGGAGUGCCUGAGAGGUAGGCGGAAUUCCAGGUGUAGCGGUGAAAUGCGUAGAUAUUAGGAGGAACACCAGUGGCGAAGGCGGCUUACUGGACGGUGACUGACGCUGAGGCUCGAAAGCGUGGGGAGCAAACAGGAUUAGAUACCCUGGUAGUC
rnacentral:rRNA from 1 species